rnacentral:rRNA from 1 species
UACGUAGGGCGCAAGCGUUAUCCGGAAUUAUUGGGCGUAAAGAGCUCGUAGGCGGUUUGUCGCGUCUGCCGGUGAAAAGUCCGGGCUCAACUCCGGAUCUGCGGUGGGUACGGGCAGACUAGAGUGAUGUAGGGGGAGACUGGAAUUCCUGGUGUAGCGGUGAAAUGCGCAGAUAUCAGGAGGAACACCGAUGGCGAAGGCAGAUCUCUGGGCCGUAACUGACGCUGAGGAGCCGAAAGCGUGGGGAGCGAACAGG